UACAAGCAACCGAUUGGUUUUGAUCUCUAUGUUAUACAAUAUUUGUUUGUGGGUAGGUCAUGUGUUAUGUUAGAGAUCUCUUAUAUUAUUUAAAUUCACCACAUAUCCUAUUCGACACACACAGGGGCCUUUAACUCUCAGGAUGAUAAACUACAAUAAGAUUUUAACUUUGUUUUUUAACUUGCUGGAAGGCUUAUGCAAUAUCACAAACACUGCAGAGUAUCAUUUUAUUGAACCUUGUUGAAUUUAAAUAGUGGUAGGAAGAAAACUUAACACAGGUGGAAUUUAAAACUCAUGUGGACUAGGAUGGUUAGUCUUAAGUAUAACUAGAAGUUUAAACGAGUAGAGUUAGAGCAAAUACUGCAUCCUUGUCUAAUUAAUUUUUAUUCGAACAUGACUCGCCAAUCGCAUUGCAAAAAAGGCGGCAUCCACAUAAACAAAUGUGAGAUAGUCUAGACAAACAGUUUAGCAUAGGAUACAUUUUAGAAUACCACAGUCUCAAUGUGUGCUCAUUUUUUCACUGUCCUCUGUUCUGUUGCUUCCAAGAAUUAUAGAACUUCUUAUUUUUUAAUAAGUGAGACUUAUAGGAACUCUAACAAAGACAAACAUGUCACAUAUAAACUCUCAGUUUUCUUGGUAACAAAACAGGGGUUACUGUGAAGUGCAUGGUUUGUGUAUUUUCCUCAAUUUUUGUUGUGCUAUUUGUGGUUCUUUGGUUAAUUCUUAACACCUUAUCUUUGGUUCUUUCUUAACACCUUAUCUUUGUUUCAAAUAUCUUUGGUUCUUUCUUAACACCAUACACUAUCAAUGCUGUCGUGGCAGUUUUGUGGGGCAAAUAGGUGCAUGAACUCAUUAUCUGAAAAAUACUAAAAUGUUAUAUUAGAAGUUAAGACCCAUUUCUUUCAAUUUGGGGAUUCAAAGCAAUAAAGGAAUGAAAAUAAUGCUGGGUGGAACUUGGUUGAACCCUUCAAAUACUAAUCAGGUAUGAUUCAAAUGAAAAUUGGAGGAAAUGGGAGCACAUGGACAUGUACAUGUACUGCCAAAGGGUUCCCUAAGUUAGCUUCUGAAAAUCUUGAUACCAACUGUUUUACAGUAUGCCAAUGCACUCUAGUCUGUCACAUUUUGUUUCGAUGUUUUUCUUUUCAAAUCCUCAUCAAGACUCGACACCUUUUUCCACAGCUUAGCAGGUUAAUUGCUCAUAACAGGGUUCUUCCAAGACAUUCUCAAAUUAGAUUGUAAUCUUUUGCUUUAUUCUUUGGUAGUCUAUGCUUAGAAUUAUGGAUUCAAGACUUAAACUCAGAAUAUUUAGAUGGCUCCACAUAACUCAUUCUACUACUCAACUUAUUAUUAUUCAUAAAGAACUGAGUUCAGCUCAACAUUCAAAUACAGUCUUAAACUCAUCGUAGGUAGACCUUACAAAACUCACUCUACCAUCUCAACUCACUAUUAUUCAUAAAAAAACUUAACCUAACUCAACUCAACUCAAUAUCCAAACACAACCUAAAUUUUUUAUAUACAAUACUUUUUGUACUGACCCUCUCCGAAGACCUUUGAUGCCCGGUAUAUCACACAAAAGGUGAUUUAUGACCAGGCGGGAAUAUUUAUUUGUAAGAAGUGGGAUUUUAACAUUGGAGAGUAGGUGAACUCGCGCCAGUCUCUGACCUUGAAGUGAUAGAAGCUUUACAUUAUUUCUUUGUGGGUACCAAAGGCUAGAAUGUGAGAAGGUGCUUUGGGUUCCAGUGGGAUCAAGAAGUAAGCAAGGAGAGUUUUUUUUAAAAAAAAAGAAGAAGAAGAACUAAGCAAGUACAAGAGGGUUAAUAGUAUGCAUACCAAAGGAUAAGUACUCACGGGGCAGUGACUGACUCUUUCUUGCCUUGCUAUCACCACACAGUUCACCCCUUUGGCUGAAGAACUAACCAGCAGAGGCAAGAAAAGGAGCAGUCUCGUAGAAACAGUAAUAAUAAGAAAAAACAGAAUGUGAAAUAUACAAGUGGGAGGAAAUCCUUUGUUAGGCUUAUGGAAGAGGGGGGUGAGGAGGCACUGAAUAUGAUUGCAUUUUACAAAGAAACACACUGGUCAAGUAAAAAGUGGAAAUUCAUCAAUGCAGCAAGUGGAACACAAUUAUAAUCUGAUGGUAGAGAGGUUAAAUGAGAAAGACAUUGAGGAUGUUGAUGAAGCUGUUGCUGAUGUUUUCAAAGAGGCCUUAGGGUUCAAAUCUAGUUAUGCACAAGGGUUGGGCCACUCAGUCAUACCUGAGCCCUCCCCGUUCUUGCAAAAGAACAAGGCAUUUAAACGUAUGGCCAAGGAGAAUGAAAGGAACAAGACUUGUGCAGACAUUUACAAGAGUAAACUAGAGGCACUUUUGGGUGAUAUGGCUGAUCUGCGCAAACAGUUUUCUGAGCAUGACAAACAACUGAACAUGAUAUCAUCGCAGUUGGAGUCAAGUAGGGAGUCUCAACAAGAGACUCAAGGAGAUGCAUAACAUCUCUCAUAUGGGCAAGUUUUUUGAAGAAGGUGUUGGGGACUUUUGUGUUUUUUGUUCCCCCAAUGGAAAUGGCAGUGUUAUAAAUGUUUUGCUGUGUAGUGUGGGCAGGUUGGGGGUGUUUUGAUAAAAAGGGUGGGAGGUGGUUACAUAAGUGGGCUUUUGUGUUGGGAAUAUAUAACCUGCUAUAAUAUGGAAGUAGGUAUUGAUGUUUGGUGAUGGUAUGUAUCAGGUAAUGGUUUUCACCAGCAUGAGUGAGUAUCUUCUCCUAUACAAUGAUAAGUAGUGUUUGUAGGGCUCUGGAUAUUCAUUACCUGAGUGGGUACAAUUGACUUAUGUUUUUUUUUCAUGCAGGGAUACACCAGCAUGCAUGUAGGUAGCUGCAUAUCCAAGGGUUCCAGUAGGGUACAUUUCUGUGACGGAAGGCCAUUGUUUCAUCACAGUUGAUAUUGAAAUGGCAACCACCAAGAGAAGUGAAAAAUAUUACAUAUUGCACAAGUUCCUGAUCCAGUGAUGGUCUUUUUCAUUCAGCCCUGAAAAUCUCCUGAUAUAGAGGCUACCGAAACAGCUGGUGCUUCAUUUCUAGUCAGAUCAAAAUGAGUUAUCUCGUACAUGAAUGCAAUUGGAGCUAUCGGGAGAUUUAAUUUGGAGGAAAGUUGAUCCUUGUAUAUAUAGAACUAUAGUUGUUAUAUGGGUUAUACAAUCAUGCUGAUGACCCUUUUCUCCUUCCCACACAGUAAACAUUAAUGUAUUUCCAUUUCCUUCAAUGAAGAGUGGAACAUGCGUGAAUGUUGUAAAUAUUGAUAUAGAAAUUAUGUUAUAUGGU